rnacentral:tRNA from 1 species
GGCCUGGUGGUCUAGCGGUUACGAUUCUUGCUUCGGGUAAUCCCCUGCCUUUUACAAGGCGUGAAAUGCGAGAGGCCCCGGGUUCAAAUCCCGGCCAGGCCC